CCGACCAACCACGAAAUGCAUCCGUCUCCUUAAUGGAUGUAUUUUCCGACAGAUCCCGCUGCCAGAAUAUUCCAAGAGAACCAUAGAUGGAGUCAGGACACCAGGGCCUUUAAAAAGCAAGAUUAAUAUCCUGGCACUGAUGAUCUCAUAAACUGAUGAGUGGCGAAGGUGAGACAGAAAUGGGUGGCCGUUGAUGAGCCUUUCACUCCGAUUCAUCAAGGUUAUGACCUCCACCUCUUCCAUUCUUUAAAGAGCUGCUGCUGGUGAGAGUGAGGGAGCCAUGACUCAGAGACGUCAGGAGCAGGCGACGCAUCAGUCUCGCUCAUCCGCCGCCUUCCCGUCAUGAUAUGGG